rnacentral:tRNA from 1 species
AGCCCCAUCGUCCAGCGGUCCAGGACGCAAGCCUCUGGAGCUUGAAACCGCGGUUCGAAUCCGCGUGGGGCUA